AGAGUUUGAUCAUGGCUCAGAUUGAACGCUGGCGGCAGGCUUAACACAUGCAAGUCGAGCGGAGCGAAGGUGCUUGCACCUUAGCUUAGCGGCGGACGGGUGAGUAAUGCUUAGGAAUCUGCCUAUUAGUGGGGGACAACAUUCCGAAAGGAAUGCUAAUACCGCAUACGCCCUACGGGGGAAAGCAGGGGAUCUUCGGACCUUGCGCUAAUAGAUGAGCCUAAGUCAGAUUAGCUAGUUGGUGGGGUAAAGGCCUACCAAGGCGACGAUCUGUAGCGGGUCUGAGAGGAUGAUCCGCCACACUGGGACUGAGACACGGCCCAGACUCCUACGGGAGGCAGCAGUGGGGAAUAUUGGACAAUGGGCGCAAGCCUGAUCCAGCCAUGCCGCGUGUGUGAAGAAGGCCUUUUGGUUGUAAAGCACUUUAAGCGAGGAGGAGGCUACUUGGAUUAAUACUCUAGGAUAGUGGACGUUACUCGCAGAAUAAGGCACCGGCUAACUAUGUGCCAGCCGCCGCGGUAAU
rnacentral:rRNA from 1 species